GCGGGAGUGGCGCAAACGGCAGACGCGCCGUCUUCAGAAGGCGGAGGUUGUGAGUUCGAGUCUCACCUCCCGCACCA
rnacentral:tRNA from 1 species